rnacentral:rRNA from 1 species
AUUGAACGCUGGCGGCAGGCCUAACACAUGCAAGUCGAGCGAGCGGCGGACGGGUGAGUAAUGUCUGGGAAACUGCCCGAUGUGGGGGGAUAACUCCUGGAAACGGUGGCUAAUACCGCGCAUCACCAGAUGUGCCCAGAUGGGCUUAGCUCGGAGGUGGGGUAACGGCUCACCUAGGCGACGAUCCCUAGCUGGUCUGAGAGGAUGACCAGCCACACUGGAACUGAGACACGGUCCAGACUCCUACGGGAGGCAGCAGUGGGGAAUAUUGCGCAAUGGGCGCAAGCCUGAUGCAGCAAUGCCGCGUGUGUGAAGAAGGCCUUCGGGUUGUAAAGCACUUUCAGCGGGGAGGCGUUACCCGCAGAAGAAGCAACGGCUAACUCCGUGCCAGCAGCCGCGGUAAUAC